GUGCCUGUAGCUCAGCUGGAUAGAGUGCCACCCUCCGAAGGUGGAGGUCUGGGGUUCGAAUCCCCGCAGGCACACCA
rnacentral:tRNA from 1 species